UACAGAGACUGCAAGCGUUAUUCGGAUUCACUGGGCGUAAAGGGUGCGCAGGCGGUUGGGUGUGUCAGAUGUGAAAAUCCCGAGGCUUAACCUCGGAACUGCGUCUGAAACUACUCGACUAGAGUACUGGAGAGGGUAACGGAAUUCACGGUGUAGCAGUGAAAUGCGUAGAUAUCGUGAGGAACACCAGAGGCGAAGGCGGUUACCUGGACAGUUACUGACGCUCAGGCACGAAAGCAUGGGGAGCAAAAGGG
rnacentral:rRNA from 1 species